UCUCAGCCUGGGGGUGACACAAUUAGUCUCUGAAGGCAGUAAGGAUGGAACACAGGAGAGCUUAUCACUUUGUUGUAUCUCAUUCACAGAAACACUGACAUCUGCAGACAAGUUGUUUACUUGCCUACUUCUUAAAAGCUACAAUAAAGUUUGCAACAGGGGACCCAGCAGGACACAAAACAGCAAUGUCUUCUGGAUGGAUGUGAGAAGCCCUGUAUUACAGACAUGGUUAAGCAGGUGAUCCCAAAACAGGAGCCAUAAUUUAAAGGGUGUGAGAUGUGGGCUCUCCAAGAAAACCAGAGGCCUCCUGUCUGGAUUGGAAGGCUUCACAGUUACAAAUAUGGCAAGGGCCUAAUUCUCCACAAUGUUACUCCGUUUGAUUGGUAUACCACUGUUGUAGCGCAGUAGAAGGAUUGUGCUAUCUGCAUCCCUUCCAAACAGUGGCAGGCACCUCACAUUUUUGACACCAUUCCCUGAAGUACUGAUUCUCAAGUGACACCGUCUAGAAUGGCCACUGCGCUGUUGCUAAUGCAGAUUGGCUGAUGCUGUAACAUCACUAAGAAGAGAAAGGCAGAACACACAAACUGAUAAGAGACAGAGGGAGAGGCAAAAAAACAAGAAAGCCAAGCAAUAGCCUGUGAGCACAGUAUGACCCUGGAAAAAGUUAGAG